AAGUCGUAACAAGGUCUCCGUUGGUGAACCAGCGGAGGGAUCAUUAUAGAGUUAUCAAAACUCCCAAACCCAUGUGAACAUACCCUUCGUUGCCUCGGCGGGCGCCGUCCUACCACCAACUGGUAGGGGCGAAACCCGCCGACGGCCCCCGAAACUCUGUUUUUCUAUAGCAUUAGACAUCUGAAGCAAAGAUAACUAAAUCAGUUAAAACUUUCAACAACGGAUCUCUUGGUUCUG
rnacentral:misc_RNA from 1 species